rnacentral:antisense_RNA from 1 species
CCAAGAAACACUCUGCAAAUGAAAAGGGUGGAAGAGUAAACUGUUCCCGUUUCUCCAAAUUGACAGGAAGCAGAAGUUCUCCUUAGCUGAUUUUUCUUCUUGCCUUAUACUGGGUUCUUUAACACCAGAACAAAAAUAAAUAAAUAAAAGAAUCUUCCAGAAAUUCAUGAAGAGACUUCAGGUCAGGAAAGCCUGAACUUUCUCAUCUAACACCUGUUCAAGUCGGAGGAUGCUGAUUAAUUCAUGAUGGAAAGGUAUCAAUUUCACAGCCCAGACUUCUACAUUCUUGAAAUGCUGUUCUCAUGGGAGACAUUAAAUAAGCUUUGAAAUAACUUUCACUCCUAAACCCAUUGUGAUUUGAUUCUUCACCUGUUACACUCUGUGCCAUGACACCCAGGAUGCAGCUGUAGGAACACCACUGGGUCCCUGGAUAUCAUGUAAGCCCUUAAGUAAAGGUGCCAUCAAAUGAUUUCUCAGAAAUUAUAAAGAAACAAAAGGACCAUAAACAAGAUAAGGUGGCACGAGGAAACACUAAAAGUACCUUUCAGAGCUGACUGGCAAAGAAACUCCUGAGGUGAUGGUUCUACCCCAAUAUUACUUCUUCCAAGAGCAACCUAACUGGACUUAUCUUCCUCAGUUCCCUGUGGGGAACUUUUGUAGAGCCACACGAAAGGAGGUUUUUAGCUCUCACCUAUGGUCUUCAUCAUGCACCUCCUAGAUUCAAAAGUUCAGCAGGGGCAUGUCAAGCUAUAUAAAUAAAAACAAACUAAGACAAAAAUGUAACAUUCCAUACCUUAAAAUGCAACCUU